GAUGAACGCUGGCGGCGUGCCUAAUACAUGCAAGUCGAGCGAACAGACGAGGAUCUUUCUCCUCUUACGUUACCGGCGGACGUGUGAUUCACACGUGUAUAACCUACCUAUAAGACUGGGAUAACUUCGGGAAACCUGAUCUAAUACCGGUUAUUAUAUUGAACCUCAUGGUUCUAUAGUGAACGACGUUUUUUCUGUCACUUAUAGAUGUUUCCUCGCCGCAUUAGCUAGUUGGUAAGGUAACGGCUUACCAAGGCAACGAUGCGUAGCCGACCUGAGAGGGUGAUCGGCCACACUGGAACUGAGACACGGUACAGACUACUACGGGAGGCAGCAGUAGGGAAUAUGAGGCAAUGGGCGAAAGCAUGACGGAGCAAAGCCGCGUGAGUGAAGAAGGUCUUCGGAUCGUAAAACACUGUUAGUAGGGAAGAAAAAAAGUGAAAGAAAAUAUGGACGUAUUGACGGUACCAAAACAGAAAGCAACGGCUAACUAUGUG
rnacentral:rRNA from 1 species